rnacentral:rRNA from 1 species
CCUACGGGUGGCAGCAGUGAGGAAUAUUGGUCAAUGGUCGGGAGACUGAACCAGCCAAGCCGCGUGAGGGAGGAAGGUACCGAGUAUUGUAAACCUCUUUUGUCAGGGAACAAAGGCGGGGACGUGUCCCUGGACGAGUGUACUUGAAGAAAAAGCAUCGGCUAACUCCGUGCCAGCAGCCGCGGUAAUACGGAGGAUGCGAGCGUUAUCCGGAUUUAUUGGGUUUAAAGGGUGCGCAGGCGGGCUGUUAGGUCAGCGGUCAAAGCCCGGGGCUCAACCCCGGCCCGCCGUUGAAACUGGCUGUCUGGAGUUGGAGAGAAGGAUGCGGGAUGAGCGG